rnacentral:rRNA from 1 species
UACGUAGGCAGCGAGCGUUGUUCGGAGUUACUGGGCGUAAAGCGUGCGCAGGCGGUCUUGCAAGACAGAUGUGAAAUCCCCGGGCUCAACCUGGGAACUGCAUUUGUGACUGCAAGGCUGGAGUGCGGCAGAGGGGGAUGGAAUUCCGCGUGUAGCAGUGAAAUGCGUAGAUAUGCGGAGGAACACCGAUGGCGAAGGCAAUCCCCUGGGCCUGCACUGACGCUCAUGCACGAAAGCGUGGGGAGCAAACGGG